rnacentral:rRNA from 1 species
CGCGGCCUAUCAGCUUGUUGGUGAGGUAACGGCUCACCAAGGCGACGACGGGUAGCCGGCCUGAGAGGGUGACCGGCCACACUGGGACUGAGACACGGCCCAGACUCCUACGGGAGGCAGCAGUGGGGAAUAUUGCACAAUGGGCGCAAGCCUGAUGCAGCAACGCCGCGUGAGGGGUGAAGGCCUUCGGGUUGUAAACCUCUUUUAGCAGGGAAGAAGCGAAAGUGACGGUACCUGCAGAAAAAGCACCGGCUAACUACGUGCCAGCAGCCGCGGUAAUACGUAGGGUGCAAGCGUUGUCCGGAAUUAUUGGGCGUAAAGAGCUCGUAGGCGGUUUGUCACGUCUGCUGUGAAAAUCCAAGGCUCAACCUUGGACUUGCAGUGGGUACGGGCAGGCUAGAGUGCGGUAGGGGAGAUGGGAAUUCCUGGUGUAGCGGUGGAAUGCGCAGAUAUCAGGAGGAACACCAAUGGCGAAGGCACAUCUCUGGGCCGUAACUGACGCUGAGGAGCGAAAGCGUGGGGAGCGAACAGGAUUAGAUACCCUGGUAGUCCAUGCCGUAAACGUUGGGCACUAGGUAUGGGAUCAUAUCAACGGAUUCCGUGCCGUAGCUAACGCAUUAAGUGCCCCGCCUGGGGAGUACGG